UCCUGGCUCAGGACGAACGCUGGCGGCGUGCUUAACACAUGCAAGUCGAGCGAUGAAGCUCUUCGGAAGUGGAUUAGCGGCGGACGGGUGAGUAACACGUGGGUAACCGGCCUCAUAGAGGGGAAUAGCCUUUCGAAAGGAAGAUUUAUACCGCAUAAGAUUGUAGUACCGCAUGGUACAGCAAUUAAAGGAGUAAUCCGCUAUGAGAUGGACCCGCGUCGCAUUAGCUAGUUGGUGAGGUAACGGCUCACCAAGGCGACGAUGCGUAGCCGACCUGAGAGGGUGAUCGGCCACAUUGGGACUGAGACACGGCCCAGACUCCUACGGGAGGCAGCAGUGGGGAAUAUUGCACAAUGGGGGAAACCCUGAUGCCAGCAACGCCGCGUGAGUGAUGACGGUCUUCGGAUUGUAAAGCUCUGUCUUUAGGGACGAUAAUGACGGUACCUAAGGAGGAAGCCACGGCUAACUACGUGCCAGCCGCCGC
rnacentral:rRNA from 1 species